AACGCGAAGAACCUUACCAGGGCUUGACAUUGAGUGAAAGGCCAAGAGAUUGGUCCCUCUCUUCGGAGACACGAAAACAGGUGGUGCAUGGCUGUCGUCAGCUCGUGUCGUGAGAUGUUGGGUUAAGUCACGCAACGAGCGCAACCCCUAUCAUUUGUUGCCAGCACGUCAAGGUGGGAACUCAAAUGAGACUGCCGCGGACAACGCGGAGGAAGGCGGGGAUGACGUCAAGUCAUCAUGCCCCUUAUGUCCUGGGCUACACACGUACUACAAUGGGAUGGACAGAGAGCAGCGACCCCGCGAGGGCAAGCGAACCCCAUAAACCAUCUCCCAGUUCGGAUUGCAGGCUGCAACCCGCCUGCAUGAAGUCGGAAUCGCUAGUAAUCGCUGGUCAGCAUACAGCGGUGAAUACGUUCCGGGGUCUUGUACACACCG
rnacentral:rRNA from 1 species